GGAGGUCGGCAGAGACCGGGAAGGGUUCGCUGUGACUCCCGCUUCUCGAGUUGGGGGCUCCGUUGGACGCUGCUAGGCAGACAGCGAGUACUGAGGGCGGGUGACCGCGGUGUUCCUGGGCCUAACCAUGUCUCUAACCAUGCUCAACUGCGGUUAGAGACGACAUGAGUGCCGCGGGGCUGCUGGCCCCGGCCUCGGCCCAGGCUGAAGCGCCGCCAGCCCCCGAGUACUACCCAGAGGAGGACGAAGAGCUGGAGAGCGCCGAGGACGAGCGCAGCUGUCCGGGCCGCGAGUCGGACGAAGACACUGAGGAUAGUGAAACUGACCUGGCAAAGCAUGAUGAAGAAGACUAUGUAGAAAUGAAGGAACAGAUGUAUCAGGACAAACUGGCUUCUCUCAAGAGGCAGUUGCAACAACCACAAGAAGGUACAUUACAGGAAUAUCAGAAAAGAAUGAAAAAACUAGAUCAGCGGUACAAAGAGAGGAUACGGAAUGCAGAACUCUUCCUCCAGCUGGAAACUGAACAAGUGGAACGAAAUUACAUUAAAGAAAAGAAGGCGGCAGUGAAAGAAUUUAAAGACAAGAAGGUUGAGCUGAAAGAGAACCUGAUUGCUGAGCUAGAAGAAAAGAAGAAAAUGAUCGAAAAUGAAAAGCUGACAAUGAACUGACUGGAGAUUCUAUGGAGGUGAAACCUAUCAUGACCAGAAAGUUGCAGAGGCGACCAAAUGAUUCCGUCCCCAUCCCAAACAAGAGGAGGAAACCUGCUCCAGCCCAGCUAAACUAUUUGUUAACGGAUGAACAGAUCAUGGAGGAUCUGAGAACAUUAAAUAAGCUUAAGUCACCCAAGAGACCAGCAUCUCCAUCCUCUCCUGAGCACCUGCCUGUGACACCCGUGGAAUCUUCCAGCCCAGAGGUUUGAAGCUCCGAUAGAAGAUGGCAAACUGUGCUAUGACAAAAGAUGGUACCACAAAAGCCAGGCCAUCUAUCUGGAAUCAAAGGACAACCAGAAACUGAGCUGCAUGAUCAGUUCUGUAGGAGCCAGUGAGAUCUGGGUGAGGAAGACAAGUGACAGCAUCAAGAUGAGGAUCUACCUGGGCCAGCUUCAGCCCGGGUUCUUCGUGAUCUGCCAACGCUCAGCUGCUUGACUUUCUGCAGUGCUCUUCUCUUGAUCCUUUUUCUGGAGUGGGUUUUAUUUUUGUUUUGUUUUGUUUUCUUCUUAAUGGAAAAAUGUUAACUUACUGGGAAUAGCUACUCAGCCUUGGAAAUGGAGAGCACUGUCGUGGAUUCCUUAAGGCACUUUUGUGGCCGGCCACUUGGAACUUUGUCAGUCUUUUCUGCCUCAACUUCUUCCAGACAUCAGUUACCAUGUGACUGUUUUACUUUCAGGAGUAUUGGGGGUUUGAUUUACUUUCCUUUUAUCUCUUUAUUUUUUGCUUAUACUUGUUUUUGAAAACCUCCUCUGAGUUUGAAGGGACAGCUGUUUUUAUUAAUUAUCUUUAGGUCUCUCUACCAUGGAGAAGAACAGGAAGGGAUACACUCUCCAGUGCAUUUUCAUAUUUUGAAUCUGAUUAGUGGAUCAGGUAGCUACUUUGCCUGUUGAGCCCAAUUCACUAUUUCCCCAGAAGCUUGGGGCAGAGGUCCCAGCAGGAGAUGAAUUCUCCUGGCUCUCAGCCUUCUGGGAGAAAUAAAUGCUUUGUGUAACAUCUGGCGCCCGCCAUCCAUUCCACUGGCUGAGCGAUGGAAAACCUUGCCUGGGAGACUCUGUGCACUGAAGCAAAUGGGUUUGGGGAGGGGACAUUUCAUAUUUAUAAUGUGUUGAAGAUACUAUAUUUUAAAUAUUAUUUAAUGCAGGUGAUUUAUUCAAA